ensembl:lncRNA
AGGCAGAGGGAGAGGUGACGAUGGUGGUCGUUGUCGCCGCGGCCGGUAUGGAGCACAAGCAGUGGCGAGGGGAAUCUCAAGGCUCUUCCCUGUUUUCUCCUGUCCUUGCGCGAGGCUGCGGAGCCACCCCAACUCUGGCUUAACUUGGCACAACAGCCAUCUUCGGAAAUGCUGGUAGCCGUCAGUAUGUCCAUUGUCCUUCGUGGCUAGAGGAAAUGACUGCUCAUGACUCACGAUGCUCCGCUUGAGGCCAGAGCAAUAACGUCUCUGCUCUGGGAAGGACCCGUAUUUGCAGUGAGUCUAUCACAGUUUACCGGCUUACUUAAUUUCUCUGAGUUCCUCUCAUUUGUUGACGGAUCAAAUCAGGUAAUGCAUGCAAAGCCCUUAGAACAAUACCUAAGGUGGUAUCUAGCACAAAGGUUUAAUGCAAGUAAGAAAAGUUGAAAGCCUCUAUCGAUAGAUCACGCUCAAUAUCAUGUUGGUUGUGUUAGGGAAGGAUCCUCCGUCCCCUUCGGAAUGGCCUUUUCCCACUGGUGUUUGUCACAUGUUUCUUGAGUAUGUUUGCCAGCUCUCAGGCCGACUUUCAAGCUCCUGGUUUCUAAUCCUAUCCAAUUUGACUUGCCCUUACUGCAGAGCUUUGUACUGGAUGAGUAUUAUGUAAGGAUAAGUUGUACUAAUGACUAGCAGUUGUCUAUGCUUCUUACAAUAUUUAUGAGGGAAUGAUAGAGAAUUAAACAUAAGAAAGUUUAUCUUCCACCCCAAAAUGGACAAACUCCAAAUUUGUGACCAACUCAUGGUCCACCGUAUCUAGAGAUAUUGAGGAAUAAUUAGAACGUCUCCUUUCAGGCUAAAUUAACUUGUUUCUAUUGAUUUCUGCAUUCUCAGCAGGACUCUAUAAAGUCCCUGCCCCUUCAAACACUAUUCUCACUUCCCCAAAACUGAGGCUGAAUACUGUCAUACACCACAAUUCCUACUGUGGAGUGAAAUUAUCUGAUCUCAACACUGGUUGAAGAGGUGAGGUUCCUUAUACUUUAGAACAUUUAACUUUUAUGUAAGUUACACUAUAAUAAAAAAAAAUAUCAAAAAUGAAAUGACAUUGGGAAGUUCCAUUGUGGCUCAGAGGUGAUGAAUCCGGUAGUAUCCAUAAGGAUGCAAGUUUAAUCCCUGGCCACGCUCAGUGGGUUGGGUGCCUGGUGUUGCCUUGGGCUGUGGUGUAGGUUGCAGAUACAGCCGGGAUCCCAAGUGGCUGUGGCUAGGCUGGUGGCUACCACUCCGGUUUGACCCUAGCCUGGGAACUUCAUGUGCCUGCAGACGUGGCCCCCCCCAAAAAAAAAUGAAAUGAAAUGACAUUUUUAAUAGUUAAUGACAUAGAAAGAUGAACAUAUGUAGUUUGAUGAAAUCAUGUGUACAAGGUAAUCUCAUUGUGUUUUUUUAAAUGUGUAUAAGGAUAUGCAUCAAAAUGUUAACAUUUCCUAUUUAUGUCUAUUUUUUUUAAAUGUUCUGUAUUGCUGAAGUUCUCCUUUUGUAAUAGUGGAAAAUAAAAAUGAUCAUGUAAACUGUCUUUGAGACGUAUGAGAGAUGGAUAUUCUGUUAGCUAACUCCUUGAUGUCCAUAGAGGAAAAUGAUGAUGUCAGUUUAGUAAUCAAGAAACAAAUAUUAUUUAGGAAUAAUCUAAAAGAUGUUGCCUCUUGAAGUUGAGGAUGCGGUCUUGUUCUUUUUCAUUUUAAGCUUUUGGAUAUAGGUGUGGGUGUUUUUGUUUUUUUAGUGUGUCUUUACUAAAUAAAUUUUAAAAGGUAAAAAUAUAUCUUAGUGUAAUUUUUUAAAAUUCAUUUUCAUCCAGGUUACCUGGUCCUUUUCCUUCACCACUCACCAGGCAGAGCAAAGAGAAAUUAAACACCUAGCUGAAAGGCAUUUUGAAUGACAGUUUCAAGUAGAGACAGAUUACAAAUUGUGCAAUAUAAAGCAGGAGAGUUGGGUUUUUUGUUUGUUUUUUUUUUUUCUUUUAAUUAUGGCCUAGCAAUACAGCUGCUUAAUUAUCAUAAACUGCAUCAUACUCUUUGAGAUGGCCUUUUGGCUUGAAUCCAUUACUGAUUAUAUAUCUUGUAGAACUGUGGGAACUGCAUUAUCAAAGCAGCUUUUUAAAUGAAAAAAAAUUUUUAAAGAUGUAAAACUGAAACAGACUCAAAAAUAGAGAAAACAAACUAGUGGUUACCAGUGGGGAGAGGGAAGGGGGAGGGGCAAGAUAGGGGUAUGGGAUUAAGAGAGUCAAACUACUUUGUGUAAAAUAGAUAAACAACAAGGCCAUAUUUUUCUUUUUUUAGGGCUGCACCCAUGGCAUAUGGAAUUCCCAGGCUAGGGGUCAAGUUGAAGCUGCAGCUGCUAGCCUGUGCCACAGCUUUCAGCAACAUCACUUCCUUAACCCACUAAGCAUGACCAGGAGUCGAACCUGCAUCCUAUGGAUACUAGUCUGGUUCUUAACAUGCUGAGCCACAAUGGGAACUCCCAACAAGGCCAUAUUGUAUAUUACUUUGUUAUUACUUUUAAUGGAGUGUAUGCUAUAAAAAUAUUCAAUCAAUCACUAUGUUGCACACUGGAAACUUAUAAAUCAGUUGUAAUUCAAUAAAAAAUAAAAUGUUAAAAAAGUCACCGUUUGUGUGUUUGGCGCCCUCUAGUGCACUAUUUUUAAAUGACACAAUUUACCCUUGCUAAGCUGUAAACUGGAAGAGGAUGAAAUGGAAACUUCAAUCAACAGUCCCUCUCUGAUUUAUCCUCUUUUCCUGGCAUCCAAAGAGACCUUACCCCUCUCUGCAUCUACACAUUAUUUCCUAGCCAUGAUACUCACUAGGCUGUAACCUUGUACUAACUAGUUCCUUAAUCUCUGAGCUUCAAUUUCCUCAUCUGUACAGUAACCCUAAGAACUGUAAUGUGGAUGUCCUGCACAUAGUAGGAGCUCAGUAAUCACUCACUUUCCUUGUAUAUUUAAUAGUCAAUAACAAACAUGUUUAAAGUAAGUAGUUAAUCUUGACUCAGGUGUUAUAAUCUGUUAGUUGGGGAAUGUGAAGAAUGUUAAUGAGUAGCUAAAAAAAUAAAGGAUAAAACCCUGGGUGUGAUUG